rnacentral:piRNA from 1 species
UGNGAGCCCCAUUAUGCAGCUGUGCAUUGC